UUGCAAGCCGCCGCGGUAAUACGGGGGGGGCAAGCGUUGUUCGGAAUUACUGGGCGUAAAGGGUUCGUAGGUGGCCCGCUAAGUCACACGUGAAAUCCCUCAGCUCAACUGGGGAACUGCGUGUGAGACUGGCAGGCUCGAGUGCAGGAGAGGAACGCGGAAUUCCAGGUGUAGCGGUGAAAUGCGUAGAUAUCUGGAGGAACACCGGUGGCGAAGGCGGCGUUCUGGACUGUAUCUGACACUGAGGAACGAAAGCCAGGGGAGCAAACGGGAUUAGAAACCCGAGUAGUCC
rnacentral:rRNA from 1 species